GAAAUGCGAUAAGUAAUGUGAAUUGCAGAAUUCAGUGAAUCAUCGAAUCUUUGAACGCAACUUGCGCUCUCUGGUAUUCCGGAGAGCAUGCCUGUUUGAGUGUCAUGAAAUCUCAACCAUUAGGGUUUCUUAAUGGAUUGGAUUUGGGUGUUGCCAGCUUGUCUGGCUCGCCUUAAAAGAGUUAGCGAGUAUAGCAAUGUCGUCUGGCGUAAUAAGUUUCGCUGGGUUAGGCUUGUGAAGCGCGCUUCUAAUCGCCCUUGGGCAAUUAUUUUGACUCUGGCCUCAAAUCAGGUAGGACUACCCGCUGAACUUAA
rnacentral:misc_RNA from 1 species